rnacentral:rRNA from 1 species
AGCGAACGUUAGCGGCAGGCUUAACACAUGCAAGUCGAGCGGUAAGGCCCUUUCGGGGGUACACGAGCGGCGAACGGGUGAGUAACACGUGGGUGACCUGCCUUCAGCUCUGGGAUAAGCCUGGGAAACUGGGUCUAAUACCGGAUAUGACUCCAUGAUGCAUGUUGUGGGGUGGAAAGCUUUUGCGGCUGGAGAUGGGCCCGCGGCCUAUCAGCUUGUUGGUGGGGUGAUGGCCUACCAAGGCGA